UUCUUAUCUAGAGAGGUGGAGGGACUGGCCCUUUGAAGCCUCGGCAACGGGUCAACAGACGCUGUGCCAAUUCCAGCAAGCUAUCACUUGAAAGAUGAGAA
rnacentral:ncRNA from 2 species